rnacentral:rRNA from 1 species
AUUGAACGCUGGCGGCAUGCCUUACACAUGCAAGUCGAACGGUAACAGGUUAAGCUGACGAGUGGCGAACGGGUGAGUAAUAUAUCGGAACGUGCCCAAUCGUGGGGGAUAACGCAGCGAAAGUUGUGCUAAUACCGCAUAAGAUCUACGGAUGAAAGCGGGGGAUCGCAAGACCUCGCGCGAGUGGAGCGGCCGAUAUCAGAUUAGCUAGUUGGUGGGGUAAAGGCCCACCAAGGCGACGAUCUGUAGCUGGUCUGAGAGGACGACCAGCCACACUGGGACUGAGACACGGCCCAGACUCCUACGGGAGGCAGCAGUGGGGAAUUUUGGACAAUGGGCGCAAGCCUGAUCCAGCAAUGCCGCGUGCAGGAUGAAGGCCUUCGGGUUGUAAACUGCUUUUGUACGGAGCGAAAAAGCUCUCUCUAAUACAGAGGGCUCAUGACGGUACCGUAAGAAUAAGCACCGGCUAACUACGUGCCAGCCGCCGCAGUAACAC